ensembl:lncRNA
GGACCUCCUGCCCUCCGCUAGGAAGUGAGAGACUGUCGACUGGAUGGUAACAGUGCUGUUAAACUACACAGAGCAGAGAUGAUGUGCCAGAUUGUGUGCCACACACGUUUAUCAAUGGACUCAUUCAUCAGGUGUGAUGGCUCCUCAAAGCAGGGUUUUGCUGAAGUUGGCUUUCACUCUCUAUACCUGAAGGAUUAACCGAGGAAAUCCUAAGAUUUGUGACAAAGCUCCCAUCUCAACUUUAGAGCAACGAUAGACUUUUCAUGCAAUGACAUGAACCAGAGAGCACCACGUUUACAAGCCGCAAAUCUGAAGUGAGGUCACUGUAAACCAGCAGAGAAUGACAACCUGGUGCUCAGUCUCCACCUAAAAUACUGCGUCUUCAAAGGUGGUCGCCCAGGCCACCUGAAACACCACACUCUCCGCCUCCCCGCAGGGCAGCUGCCGUCU